UUUGGGCAAGCGCUAUUUAAAUUUUGUAAUAAUUAUUUAACACUUUUAAUUAUCUCUCUUAAAGAUGGAUUUUAACCAGAAUUUUCUCGUUUGGUAUUGGUUUCAGAAUUUUAGUCAUUAAAGUGUUCCUCUGUUCAGCAUUUACAGAGUAUGUUGUACAAUGUAAUAAAAUAUUUAUUUAUUUCUUAUGCAUACUCAAGAAUAUAUUCAGCAAUUAUUUUGAUUAUUUAAAUAGUUGCAGUGGACUGUCCCUGAGACGAUUCCCCACAUCGCCAGCUAUGUAGACAGCUUGUGAAAAUGAAAUUGUGCCAGAAAAGUUUGAAGUAGCUAUGGGAAUGACCAACAUUGAACUUGCUGAGCCUUCCUUCUGAAAGUGACUUGACCAGAUAUUUGGCUACCCAGUACGAGUAUCUUUCUGCUACAUUAAAUAAAAUAUCGUGGAGGAACACAAAGAAAAGGGCUGUGCAUCUCAACAUAUUCAAGGUCAAGCAGCUUUUUACCAUAUCCAUAGUAUCUUGCUGCUAAAUAAAAGAAUUAUUGUGGAGGAGCAGAGAAAAGGGCACUUCAACAUGUUCAAGGUCAAGCAGAAAUUAGGAGCUAGAUGUGCUUCUCCAGAGCUGAAAACUUCUUGGCAUGAAGAGAAGAAAAAGCAAGAAGAAGCAGUUUUAAAUUUUGAUUACGUCUUCAUAGUACAAAAAAUGAUUCUAAAGAAAAUACUAUCUAUGAAAUUAGAAAACUGAAGUUGCGUUCUGAUGAAUGUGAGAAAGUCUUCAAAGAACAGGACACCAAAAGUGCAACUCUCAAAUCAAAGCACUCUACAAGGCAGAGCAUAAGGAGAACUAGGACAAAUAAAGAAUCUAAAAGAGUCAACCCUAUGGAUGUAGUAAUCGAACAGAGAUGGGCUAUUAGAGAUGAAAUAUCUGAGUUGCUACUUUUUUGCACAAAUGUGAUGCUUGUUUUACUUAUCUUUAAUUUACACAUUCAAUGUUAGAUAAGAAAAAAAUAUACCUAGUGUUGUAUUUUUGACAGCGAAAUUUGAUUUUUUUCUGAUGCUUGAUUACAGAUUGAAACUGUUAUGUUUUUUAUUGUUUAAACAUUUAUUGGUUUGUUGUGUAGUAUGCAAUCACAUACAUUUUAAUCUUGAUUUAUAUAUUACAUAUAUGUACAAGUCUGACUUAAAUAAUAAGUGCAUGGACAAUAUUGUGGAAAAAAAUAAGACAAUCAAGGGUAGUCUGAAAGAUCUUUGCUGGCAGUAAGUUGCAGAUCUUGAUACCCAAGUAAGAGAAGGGUGGCGUCUCUGACCGAUCCUUUUGCUGUUGCUUGUGGGCGAGUGAGGCUUCUCUGUCAGUGGCUUAGUGAGUCUUAGAUGUAAAAAAUAGAAUAGGCAAAUGAGGUAGAGACAUUUCUGAGUAAAAAAGGGGUGAAUUGUGAUUUUAAUAAAUAUUACAAUUGAUAUUGAAAGAGUAAUGAGAAUUGCAAGAGUAAAAUAUUAAUUUGUUUCCUUCCAGUUGAAGUAAGAGAGUUUAUGACGAGAAUCUUUUCCAUUAAAAUGGAAUUGUAAUUAAUGCUUAAAAAAUUUGUUAAAUAUACUUGUACAUAUGUUAAUACAGGACUUUUAUAUGUGCAUGUUUCAGAGCUCACUCUUGAUAUUUUAAGGCAAAGUUAAAAAUAUCACUAUUGAAAUGUCUUGCAUUCCAAUUUAAAGUUGAUUUAAUGAGGAUAUGUUAAAUUACAAUCAUCACGCAAUAAACCUAGCAGUUGGAACAGAAAUGAGCUACAUGUAUUGGAAGCAAUUUUAAGCUGCUAUUGUUUUGUGUAAUUGUGAUACUUUUUCCUUAAUUUGAAUUGACAUAACCAAAUGAUUUAAAGGAUUUUUUGGGUGUUGUAUUUUUCAGUCAACAUUAAGUAUUUUACAAGUCGAACUUGAAUAAUUAGUGCAUGGACAUCUAUUGUGGAAAUACUUGGGAAACAAUAUAAGGGUGGGCUGAAAGAGCUUUGCUGGCAGUAAGUUGCAGAUCUUGAUACCCAAGUAAGAGAAAGGUGGUGUCUCUGACCGAUCCUUUUGCUGUUGCUUGUGGGCGAGUGAGGCUUCUCUGUCAGUGGCUUAGUGUGCCUUAUUAAAUGUACAUGUAAAACGAAUGGGCAACUUUUAUUGGCAACUUAUAUUCUUUUUAUGCAAAGUAUGAUAUAAUUUAUUGUGGGAAAUUGAAAAGCCAUUUACAACCCAUGCAGCAGUUUUAAUAGGGGCAGUUUUAGUCAGAUUUUGCAGUCUUUUGGAGUCCAGAAUGACUACAUUUUUGACCUGUUGUGUUCUGAUUUAUUGCGAAUUUGAAUUUUA